rnacentral:rRNA from 1 species
GGUGGUUUGUUAAGUUGGAUGUGAAAGCCCUGGGCUCAACCUAGGAACUGCAUCCAAAACUAACUCACUAGAGUACGAUAGAGGGAGGUAGAAUUCAUAGUGUAGCGGUGGAAUGCGUAGAUAUUAUGAAGAAUACCAGUGGCGAAGGCGGCCUCCUGGAUCUGUACUGACACUGAGGUGCGAAAGCGUGGGUAGCGAACAGGAUUAGAUACCCUGGUAGUCCGCGCCGUAAACGAUGACAACUAGCUGUUAGGAGACUUUGUCUUUUAGUGGCGCAGCUAACGUUUUAAGUUGUCCGCCUGGGGAGUACGGCCGCAAGGCUAAAACUCAAAUGAAUUGACGGGGACCCGCACAAGCAGUGGAUCAUGUGGUUUAAUUCGAUGCAACGCGAAAAACCUUACCUACUCUUGACAUACUUGGAAGCUCUUGUAAUGAGAGUGUGCUUUUAAGAACCAAGAUACAGGUGCUGCAUGGCUGUCGUCAGCUCGUGUCGUGAGAUGUUCCGUUAAGUCGGAUAACGAGCGCAACCCUUACCCUUAUUUGCCAGCGAUUCGGUCGGGAACUAUAAGGGGACUGCCGGUGAUAAACCGGAGGAAGGUGAGGACGACGUCAAGUCAUCAUGGCCCUUACGAGUAGGGCUACACACGUGAUACAAUGGGAGAGACAGACGGACGCUAAGCCGCGAGGUGGUGCUAAUCCUAGAAACUCUCUCGUAGUCCGGAUUGGAGUCUGCAACUCGACUCCAUGAA